GGGCUUGUAGCUCAGUGGAAUAGAGUAUGCGUCUCCGAAGCGCGUGGUCGAGGGUUCAAUUCCCUCCAUGCCCA
rnacentral:tRNA from 1 species